AUGCCGGACGGAAUGCUCGGCAAGGCGGCGCUCGCCGUCCUUCUCCUGCUGGCCGGCCUCGCGGCCGGGACCAGGCCGCCGCCGCAGCCGGUGUCGGAGGACACGCUGGAGCAGGUCGCCGGCUCACUGGAAAUGUACGUCGACAGGCUCCCUCAGAUGCCCAAGUUACGCGGCUACUCCGUCGAACACGGCCGCCCCACGCCGGUGCACCUCGCCGUCGGGAUGUACCGAAAGAAAUGGAAAUUCCACCGUGACCUGCCGGCGACCACCGUGUUCGUGUUCGAAGAGUCGGCGGCGAGCGCCACGUUUCCCGGGCCGACCAUCGAGGCCCUGCAAGGGGUCCCGCUGUUGGUGACGUGGGAGAACCACCUGCCGGAGCACCACGUCCUCCCGUGGGACCCCACCGUGCCUGUCGCCAUCCCCAGGCAUGGCGGCGUCCCGAUCGUAGUGCACCUCCACGGCGGCGUCCACCCGCCGCAGUCCGAUGGCAGCGCCUUCGCCUGGUUCACCGCCGGCUUCCGCGAGACGGGUGCCAAGUGGACGACGCCGACGUACGUGUACCCGAACGUGCAGUCCCCCGGCGUCCUCUGGUACCACGACCACGCUCUCGGCCUCACGCGCGCCAACCUCCUCGCCGGCCUCCUCGGCGCCUAUGUCAUCCAUAAUCCGGCGGUCGAGUGGCCGCUCGGUCUCCCAUGCGGUGAUGAGUUCGACCGCGUGUUCGUGCUCGCCGACCGCAGCUUCUACGCUGACGACUCCCUGUACAUGAACUCCACCGGCAACAACCCGCGCAUCCACCCACAGUGGCAGCCCGAGUACUUCGGCGACGCCAUCACCGUCAACGGCAAGGCGUGGCCGUUCCUCCGCGUCGCUCGGCGUCGGUACCGCUUUCGCGUCAUCAACGCCAGCAGCGCGCGCUACUUCAAUCUGUUGCUGAGCAACGGCCUCCCCUUCCACGUCGUCGGCUCCGACACCAGCUACCUGCCCCGGCCGGUCACCGCCACCCACGUCCUUGUCAGCGUGUCUGAGUCGUUCGACGUCGUUGUCGACUUCUCCGACGACGAGUCCUCCAACGACCGCAGCUUCUCACGUCGGACGACCACCCGCUCCACGCCUCCACCUCCACCUGGCCACGUUCCAGGCGGUGCGCGUCCGGGGGCUCGUCGGGCUGGACGAGUUGAAGAGCUGCAUGGCCAGGCUCAACGACGCGGGCAGGUGCAACCUGAGCCAGCACACCGCCGGGGACGCGGUGGCCGUGCCGGAGCACGAGAGGACGUGGAAGAACGUGGGAAAGAUGGCGCCGGGAUACGUGACGACGGUCGUGGUCAAGUUCCUGAUGGUGGACACGGGCGAGGCCUACCCGUUCGACGCCACGGCCGAGCCCGGCUACGUCUAUCACUGUCACGAGUACGUCAAUGGCGUACCUGA
rnacentral:rRNA from 1 species